AUGCAGCAGCAGGCGCAACAAGACCACGAGGUGCAUCAUAGCAAGGAAAGCUCACUCCAAUCAAGCUUGAAGCAGAAAGUGAGGCGGCUUCUGCUCGAGGAGGAAGAAGAGCUGGCUACUAGGCUCAUAAUCAUGGAUCAACUGCAAAGUCUCGGUGUAGCGUACCAUUUCGAGGAGGAGAUCAGAAACAUCCUCAUGUCCAUGCAUGUCCAUGAUGCACACCAUCAACUCAAGCAUGACCUCUCAUCAACAGCACUGCUAUUUAGAAUGCUCAGAGGAUAUGGAAUCUCUGCGUCCACAGAUAUGUUGAGUGCAUUCAGGGAUGAGAAUGGUGAUUUCAAAGCAGCCAACCCCAAGGAUAUUGAUGGAUUCGUUGCACUCCAUGAGGCUUCCUACCUGGCCUUCCCAGGAGAGGCCAUGCUCGACGAAGCAAGAGCAUUCGCCGUCAAGAAACUCGAACAACUGAUGCCGUCCAUGUUCAUCUCCAUGGAAAGACAAAUAGACCUCCCACUGCAAUGGAGAGUUCCCAGGCUGCAGGCGAUAUGGUCGCUGCAACAACACGGGUACAACGACGAGAAGCACCUGAGUAUGGAUCCUUCAGUUCUUCAGCUGGCUGUGGUCGACUUCAACCUCGUGCAGGCCGUCCAUGGAGCAGAGCUCGUGGAGGUCACAAAAUGGUGGAAGGAGACCGGGUUGGGCGUGAAGCUACCGUUCGCGAGGGACCGUCUCGUGGAGUGCUUCUUCUGCGCGGCGUGCAUUGCGCCGGAACCCCCCCUGGCUAGCUGCCGCGAGGUGCUGGCCAAGGUGGGCUCCCUCAUCGUCCAUCUCGACGACGUCUACGACCUCUAUGGCACGUUCGACGAGCUGGCUGCCUUCACCGAUGCUGUCGGCAGCUGGGAUGACGAUGCUUUGUCGACGGCGCUGCCGGAGUACAUGAAGGCGAUGUACUCGGCCAUCAGGUCGACAUCGACGGAGGCAGCAGAUCGUGUGACCAAGGGCAAAGGAUACGAUGUGCUCCCGCUCUACAAGAAAGCAUGGCAUGAGCUGUGUAAGGCGUUCCUGAUAGAAGCCAAGUGGCAGCACGAGGGGCAGAUGCCAUGCUUGGAGGAGUACCUUGAGAACGGGUGGGUGACGUCCACGGGGCCUCUGCUGCUGCUCCACGCUUUCACCAUGCUCCAGCAGCAAGAGCAGAUUGAUUCAUGGCUGCGCAAUCACGACGACGGCAACGACAUGGUGUACCCCAAGCUGGUUGAGCUAUGUUCCAUGAUCUUUCGGCUCUGCAACGACUGUGCGACCUACGAGGCCGAGUAG
rnacentral:rRNA from 1 species